GUUUAAGAUGCCACAUAACAGUUUUAAACGACGACGAUAAAUGCGUUAUUGUAUUUUGUUAUUGUUUUAGUCGGAAUCAGUAAAAUGAAAGACGUUACUGCAAAAAUUGUCUUUCAGAGUUUCUCUAAAAUAAUUUACUGCGUAAGUAAUAGCAGCUGUAUAUAUAUAUAUUUAAUCUCGUUUAGAGUUAAAAGAAUUUUAAAGAAUUUCGUGUUAAAUUUAAUCGGAGAGCAGCAAAGGUCAGCGAGGAUAUAUUUAAUGAAGUCUUUUAAUAACGUUUUUUCUAAUCGGUCGACUCCGAAAGGACAUCACACUGCUGCUAUGACAUCAUUACCGUUUGCAAUAGUCGGAUAGAGUUUCCCAAAGAUAGAAUUUCUUCCGUUUCCAAUACAACGUUCUAGUAAAUUGAGCUUCGUUCGAUCUAAGAGGACAUUUUGUUAAAAAUAUUCGAUAGCAGAAAAAAAAGAAAAGUUUAUCAAUCGG
rnacentral:lncRNA from 1 species